rnacentral:rRNA from 1 species
CCUACGGGAGGCAGCAGUCGAGAAUCAUUCACAAUGGGGGAAACCCUGAUGCUGCGACGCCGCGUGGGGGAAUGAAGGUCUUCGGAUUGUAAACCCCUGUCAUGUGGGAGCCAAUUAAAAAGAUAGUACCCCAAGAGGAAUAGACGGCUAACUCUGUGCCAGCAGCCGCGGUCAUACCGAGGUCUCAAGCGUUGUUCGGAAUCACUGGGCGUAAAGCGUGCGUCGGCUGUUUCGUAAGUCGUGUGUGAAAGGCGCGGGCUCAACCCGCGGACGGCACAUGAUACUGGGAGACUAGAGUAAUGGAGGGGGAACCGGAAUGCUCGGGGUAGCAGUGAAAUGCGUAGAGAUCGAGAGGAACACUCGUGGCGAAGGCGGGUUCCUGGACAUUAACUGACGCUGAGGCACGAAGGCGAGGGGAGCGAAAGGGAUUAGAUACCCUAGUAGUC